GUUUAUGUAGUUAAUGGCAUCUGGUGGAAGAGAACAGCUUUGUUUCCUCUUUAACUUUGGGAACACUAGAGGAUGGUGUGGAUAAAGAUUGCCUGCAAUAGAUGACUCCUUUUAAGCACUAGCCGUGAACAGAUGAGCCUCCUCCACACCCCAGACACACACUGGGGAGAGAUGAAGGUGAUAAGCCACACUUCCGAUUUACUCUAGAAGGGAAGACAUUACUCUCUGUCAUUAAACUAACUUAAAGCUUUUAGUGAUUUACUUAGUACUUUUAGGAAUACAAAUAGGAAUCUUUAGGAUUUAAAAAGUUUUCCAAUAAUCUAGAAGUUGGAAAAAUAACAAAGAGUGGGCAUGUUGGGGGAGGUUUUAUUUUCUAUCUUGCAGGCUCGAGUGCUUAGCUAAAUGCUGGAAAUGGACAUAGGUGGAGAAAUGGUCAGAGCAGCAGUGGGAGCGUACCCAGAACCAUGAGUAGACGGCAAGCGAGCUGCUCUGCCAAGCCAGGGAUGGAGGUGUGAGGCGGCUGGUGUGGUAGAAUAUGUUGGAAUCUAGUUAGAAUUCCUGGAUUGGAAUCCUGUCACAGUUUGUUUCAUCAGACAAAUCACUUGCCCUUUUCUAUUAUUAUUAUUUUUUUUUUUUUGAGAAAAAGUCUCACUGUUUUGCCCAGGCUGGGGUGCAGUGGUGCAAUCUUGGCUCACUGCAACCUCAGCCUCCCGAGUAGCCGGGAUUACAGGUGCAUGCCAACAUGCCCAACUCAUUUUUGUAUUUUUAGUAGAGACGGGGUUUCACCAUGUUGGCCAGGCUAGUCUUGAACUCCUGACCUCAGGUGAUCCACCUGCCUCGGCCUCCCAAAGUGCUGAGAUUACAGGCGUGAGCCACCGUGCCCAGCCAAUUCAUGCCUCAAUUUCUUUAUCUCCGGAUUGAGGGAUUUGUAUUAGAUUUUUUUUUUCCUAGUACCUUCCAGCUCUAAAAAAAUUUGAAAUAGCAUAAUAAAAGACAAAAUGAAAACGAAAUUUUAAUUGUAAUAUUUUCUGUCACAGCAGCAUAUGUAUAUUUGAAAUACUGGUAACAAUUUUAAGGUAGCAUUCUGUGGUAUUAAUAUUUAUUAAUAUGCUCAUGAACUUCUAAGUGCCACACCAGACAUAUAGACUCUUUACUUUAAAAGAGCAUAUAUUUAAGGCAUUGAAAUGGAUACAGCUAUAUUCAUUCUCAAUUGUCUUAGGCUAUUAUAUGGAAAGAUAUGUGUCAAUUAUAGGUAGGUAGGUAGGUAGGUAGAUUUUCUGGAAACACAGAAGUACUUGACGGAGAGUUAGGCCUGUAUUCUAUAAAUCUAUUAAUGGUAGCAAAGUGCAUAAGACAGGGAUUUCUUUGAGAUGAAAGGAGUGCUGAAGAAGAGCAUUGGAAUUAAUAUUUGGAUGUGGUAUUGUGAAAUUCAAUGGGUAAAGUAACCCUAAUGUGGGAAUAAAAGUCAAGGGAAAGGUCUUGAAUAAGUACACAGAAAAAUAGGCUAAAAAUAUUAAGGGGAGGGAAAUUGGAAUACAGGGAGACAGUGUGCAAGAAAGCAAGCCAGGAAUCUGCCUAUGUGGUAGACCCAACCAUUACUACUUGAACCCCCUUAGAAAAGCUUUUCCAGCAUUCCAUAACUCAGGUUCCUCAUUUAUAAAGUGGGAAACUCAUAAUUGUCCUACCUACCUCACAGGGGUGUUGUGAGGAUCAAAGGAACAGAUGAAUGUAUGAGCACUUUCAGACAUGUAAGGCACUGUCAUGUAACAAGUAGGGGAAAGACUCUGGAGCACAUUAGUGCUGGUGUGUGCCAAGCCCGUGGGCUGUUGACCGUAAGGGAUAUUCAAGUAGGAGGAGGAAGAGAAGAUGGCAUUGCUAAUAAAGGUUGUGAUACACAACCAUAGGAUUAACUGCCUCCUCAAGUCCAUCAUGUAAAUAAGGUGCUAUGUAUACCAACUUCUCACCACCUUUGUUUUUCUGUUCGGUAAUCCUGGUGUGGACAAAUAAAGUUUUCACUUGUAUGUAGUUGUGGGUCAGUCCACUACUUUGUGAUGAUGUCUGUGGUCCUUUGUUGCCUCCAUUCUCUGCUUUGCUUUCUCCUCUGCUAAGGGUCUUGCAUGUCUGCAGCCCUCGGAGCUAUAUGUGCUUUCUGUCUUCAGAGGAGAGCGGCC
rnacentral:lncRNA from 1 species